rnacentral:rRNA from 1 species
AUUGAACGCUGGCGGCAUGCCUUACACAUGCAAGUCGAACGGCAGCACGGGUGCUUGCACCUGGUGGCGAGUGGCGAACGGGUGAGUAAUACAUCGGAACAUGUCCUGUAGUGGGGGAUAGCCCGGCGAAAGCCGGAUUAAUACCGCAUACGAUCUACGGAUGAAAGCGGGGGCCCUUCGGGCCUCGCGCUAUAGGGUUGGCCGAUGUCUGAUUAGCUAGUUGGUGGGGUAAAGGCCUACCAAGGCGACGAUCAGUAGAUGGUCUGAGAGGACGACCAGCCACACUGGGACUGAGACACGGCCCAGACUCCUACGGGAGGCAGCAGUGGGGAAUUUUGGACAAUGGGCGAAAGCCUGAUCCAGCAAUGCCGCGUGUGUGAAGAAGGCCUUCGGGUUGUAAAGCACUUUUGUCCGGAAAGAAAUCCUUGGCUCUAAUACAGUCGGGGGAUGACGGUACCGGAAGAAUAAGCACCGGCUAACUACGUG